AAUGGGCGAAAGCCUGAUCCAGCCAUGCCGCGUGAAUGAAGAAGGCCUUAGGGUUGUAAAGUUCUUUCGAUGGUGAAGAUAAUGACGGUAACCAUAGAAGAAGCCCCGGCUAAUUUCGUGCCAGCAGCCGCGGUAAUACGAAAGGGGCUAGCGUUGUUCGGAAUUACUGGGCGUAAAGCGCACGUAGGCGGCCUUGUAAGUUGGGGGUGAAAUCCCGGAGCUCAACUCCGGAACUGCCUCCAAAACUACAAAGCUAGAGGAUGUGAGAGGAUAGUGGAAUUCCGAGUGUAGAGGUGAAAUUCGUAGAUAUUCGGAAGAACACCAGUGGCGAAGGCGACUGUCUGGCACAUUUCUGACGCUGAGGUGCGAAAGCGUGGGGAGCGAACAGGAUU
rnacentral:rRNA from 1 species